rnacentral:rRNA from 1 species
UACGGAGGGUGCAAGCGUUGUUCGGAAUUACUGGGCGUAAAGCGCGCGUAGGCGGCUAUUUAAGUCAGAUGUGAAAGUCCAUGGCUCAACCAUGGAAGUGCAUUUGAAACUGGAUAGCUUGAGUAUCAGAGGGGAUGGUGGAAUUCCCGGUGUAGAGGUGAAAUUCGUAGAUAUCGGGAGGAAUACCGGUGGCGAAGGCGACCAUCUGGCUGAAUACUGACGCUGAGGUGCGAAAGCGUGGGGAGCAAACAGG